rnacentral:rRNA from 1 species
AGGGGGAUUUUAUAAAAUGAAAGAGAAGGCAUUUUUGAACUGGCAGUCUAGAGUGUCCUUUUUAAAAGGGUGGAAUUCCACGUGUAGCAGUGAAAUGCGUAUAGAUGUGGAGGAACACCAAUGGCGAAGGCAGCCCCCUGGGAUAACACUGACGCUCAUGUACGAAAGCGUGGGUAGCAAACAGGAUUAGAUACCCUGGUAGUCCACGCCCUAAACGAUGUCAACUGGUUGUUGGGGGAGUGAAAUCCCUUAGUAACGAAGCUAACGCGUGAAGUUGACCGCCUGGGGAGUACGGUCGCAAGAUUAAAACUCAAAGGAAUUGACGGGGACCCGCACAAGCGGUGGAUGAUGUGGAUUAAUUCUAUGCAACGCGAAAAACCUUACCUACCCUUGACAUGUCCGGAAUCCUGCAGAGAUGCGGGAGUGCCCGAAAAGGGAAUCGGAACACAGGUGCUGCAUGGCUGUCGUCAGCUUCGUGUCGUGAGAUGUUGGGUUUAAGUCCCCGCAACGAGCGCAACCCUUAUCAUUAGUUGCUACGCAAGGGCACUUCUAAUGAGACUGCCGGUGACAAUCCGUUAUGAAUGUGGGGAUGACGUCAAGUUCCUCAUGGCCCUUUAUGGGUAGGGCUUCACACGUCUUACAAUGGGUCGGGUACAGAAGGGUUGCCAAACCGCGAGGUGUACCCAUUCCCAAAAGCCGAUCGUAGUCCGAAUUGGUUCUCUUGCACCUCGAGUGCUGGAAG